rnacentral:rRNA from 1 species
UACAGAGGUCUCAAGCGUUGUUCGGAUUCAUUGGGCGUAAAGGGUGUGUAGGUGGCGCCGUAAGUCGGGGUGUGAAAUUUCGGAGCUUAACUCCGAAACUGCAUUCGAUACUGCGGUGCUUGAGGACUGGAGGGGAGACUGGAAUUUACGGUGUAGCAGUGAAAUGCGUAGAUAUCGUAAGGAAGACCAGUGGCGAAGGCGGGU